rnacentral:snRNA from 1 species
GUUGACUGAGUGGUAGAAGCUCG